rnacentral:rRNA from 1 species
CGGGACGGGUGAGUAACGCGUGGGUAACCUGCCUCAUACAGGGGGAUAACAGUUAGAAAUGACUGCUAAUACCGCAUAAGCGCACGAGAUCGCAUGAUAAAGUGUGAAAAACUCCGGUGGUAUGAGAUGGACCCGCGUCUGAUUAGCUGGUUGGUGGGGUAACGGCCCACCAAGGCGACGAUCAGUAGCCGACCUGAGAGGGUGACCGGCCACAUUGGGACUGAGACACGGCCCAAACUCCUACGGGAGGCAGCAG